rnacentral:tRNA from 1 species
GUAGCUCAGUUGGCAGAGCGUCAGUUUGUAGUGCUGAAUGUCGCCAGUUCGAUCCUGGUUACUCA